rnacentral:snoRNA from 1 species
AAUCACCCUUUCCCAUCACAUCUGAAUGCUAGUCUUGGUGGUCAUACAAGGAGGAAAGUGAUGCUGAAGCUGACUUUACGGCAUUGCAGCCUGGCAUAUAGCAUGUGGGCAAUUUUCAAACAGGA